AGAGUUUGAUCCUGGCUCAGAACGAACGUUGGCGACGCGUUUUAAGCAUGCAAGUCGAGCGUGAUCAUUGAGCUUGCUCAAUGUGAAAGCGGCGGACUGGUGAGUAACACGUAAGUAAUCUACCCCUAAGUGGGGGAUAGCCCCUGGAAACAGGGAUUAAUACCCCAUGGUUCGUAUUGGCAUAAGUUGAUAUGAUAAAGCUUUCGUGCUUAGGGAUGAGCUUGCGGCCCAUUAGCUUGUUGGUAAGGUAACGGCUUACCAAGGCGACGAUGGGUAGCCGGCUUGAGAGGGCGACCGGCCACAUUGGGACUGAGAUACGGCCCAGACUCCUACGGGAGGCAGCAGCUGAGAAUCUUCCGCAAUGGACGCAAGUCUGACGGAGCGACGUCGCGUGAGGGAUGAAGGUCUUCGGAUUGUAAACCUCUUUUAGUACUGAUGAAUGGAUGACCGUAGGUACUGAAUAAGCCUCGGCUAACUACGUGCCAGCAGCCGCGGUAAUACGUAGGAGGCAAACGUUGUUCGGAUUUACUGGGCGUAAAGGGUGAGUAGGUGGAAAAGUAAGUCUGAGGUGAAAGAUCGGGGCUUAACCCCGGAAACGCCUUGGAUACUGCUUUUCUAGAGUGUGACAGAGGAAGAC
rnacentral:rRNA from 1 species